AUGGUUACACGCCUAGGCCAACUGUGUUGCAUCCAGAAUACAAACGCCUCCUCCUCGCGCACGUACGCACGGCCGCUGGUUCCUCCGCUCAGCGCUCAGCGCUCAGACACAAGGCGGAGCCAGGACGGCCUGACCUCGAUCGGUGCUCUGGUUUGCUGCCUCUCAUCCAGGCUCUGCGGGGUUCCCAAUUCUCGGCGGUCGACUUGCACGCAUUGCCCGGCCGGCGUCGCACCCUCUUCCUCGUCCAACGAGUGGCCGCGAGAUCCCAACAUCCCUCCUACGAGCGCGGCGGCGACUCGCCAAGAGCACGACUUCGCACGAGGUGAUCCCAUGAUGAAGUUCACAAAGGCCGACGCGACAUGCGGUUUGGAUCCUUCUAGUCUGGCGGAGGCCCCGAAGCUGGUCCACUCGGUUGCCGGGGCCAUGGAGGGACUUGCCGAGGAGAUCCAGUCGCUUGACCAGGGAUAUUGGAAAUGGGUGCCAAGGUGGAUUAAGGUCAUCGCCACCGAGCUGGAGUUGCUCAAGACCAAUAUGCUCCAGAUCUGGUUCAUCUCUGCCGUCGCCGAUCCACGACAUGGGGCACCGGUACAGCAGGAAAGAGACGCCACCUACUCCAUCGAAGUGAUUCAAGACAAGAUUGAGUACCACAGGCUUCAAUCUAACCUUGUUCCACGUAACAAGAUUCUCAAUCAUCUGUUCAAGCUGCUUCUUGCUUUGAGGUGUCGAUGGAACCGCUCCAAUCCAAACAGGAUCAUCAGGGAGAUCAAAGCUGUGAAUGAGAAAGCUCGCAGGCUUGUCCCUCUCCUAGACAAGGGCCAAGGCCAGUUUUCCAAUCCACCGCCAUCGUCGCUUGGUUCCGUCAGCGACACUCGUCCGGUGGUUUAUGGGCGCGACAGGGAGAGGGAUGAGGUUGUGCGGAUGCUCAUCCGGUCAUGUGGCGAGGCCACACCGGAGAUAAUGGUCUCUCUUGUUGGUGAUGGAGGAAUUGGGAAGACAACACUCGCUCAGAUGGUAUUCAACGAUGAAAGCGUCAGGAACCAUUUUGAUGUCAGAUGUUGGGUGUCAGUUUCCAGUGUCUCCAACCAAAUGGAGCUCGCAACAGAGAUUUUAAGAUCGGCCCAACCAUCUUGGGUUGGAUCUGAUGAGAAUAAUAUGGUGGAUUUUCAAGUGCUUCAGUCCGAGCUUCGUCAAUUUGUGGCAUCCAAGAGAUGCCUGAUUGUUCUAGAUGAUGUAUGCAACAGUAAGGAUGAAAUCUUACUAGGCAUCCUCACUCCUCUUCUUUCAGCAGAUAGCAGAAGCAGAAUUUUGGUGACUUCUCGCAUGGUACCUCACAUAUUGGGUUCCUCGCAGCUGUACACUGUAAAUCCGCUGGAUACCGAUGACUGUUGGUCCCUGCUCAAGGAACAUGCUUUUCCCAUUGAUGACGAGAAUGUCCAUCCAGAUCUGCAGUUGAUUGGAAAGGAAAUUGCUACAAAAACCAAUGGAUCACCUUUGGCUGCCAAGCUGGUGGGAGGGUUGCUAGGAGAAACAAGGAGCAAAGCGCACUGGAGAAAUAUCCUUGAAACAGGGUUACAGGAUGGCACUGUUUUCUCUGCCCUACUCUUGAGCUAUAAGAACUUGCCUGGACACCUCAAGCGGUGCUUCACAUAUUGCAGUUUGUUUCCAGAGGACUAUAAGUUUGAUCCAGCACAUUUGUCCCGCCUUUGGAUUGCGGAGGGUUUUGUACAUCCACAGGGCAUGGCUGAGAAAAGGAUGGAAGACAUAGCUAGAGAAUAUUUUGAUCAGCUCCUUUCACGCUCAUUUUUUCAGGAAAUCAACAUUGGACACAAGACUUAUUACUUGGUGCAUGGCCUACUCCAUGAACUUGCAAAGUCUGCUGCGGAGGAGGACUGCUUCCGUAUUGAUGAUGGCAUGAAUUUUGACAUCCCAUCAACAGUGCGCCAUUUGUCUGUCACCAUGAACAGUUUACCUGGCCUCGCAAACUUUUCCGGGCUAGAAAAGUUGCGCACCUUGUUAAUCCAACCAUCACUUUCAUCCUCCUCUAGUUGCUUCCAAGAAGAUUUUGCGGUGAAUUUAAAAGGUAUCCUGGCGAAGUCAAAACAUUUGCAUGUUCUUGAUCUUAGUUGCUAUAACUCUGAAGAGUUGCCCAAUUGCAUUAAUGACUUGUUGCACCUCCGUUACCUCUCUAUCCAUGGCUCCAUCCAGAGGCUUCCUGAGUCAAUUGGCAGGCUUUGGCACCUGCAAACAUUGCGCUUCACCGGGGAAUGUUCCCUUGAGAAGCUUCCUGCUAGCAUUAUUAUGCUAGUCAAUCUGCGGCACCUUAUUGUUGAGACAAAGUAUACUGCAGGAUUGGUGGGCAUUGGUCGGCUAGCAAAUCUUCAGGGAUCACUUGAGCUCCACAUUGAGAAGAGGGAAGGGCAUAAACUAGAAGAGUUGAGGAACAUCAAUGGUCUUCGUGGGCUACUAAAAAUAAAAGGUCUAGAAAAUGUUUCAAGCUAUGAAGAAGCAUGCAAAGCUGAGUUGAAUAAGAAAAAACAUCUUAAUUCUCUAAAUUUAGAAUGGAGCUUUGCUAGUAGGAAUAACCCUCCUCCUGCUGACGUGGAGGUACUUGAAGGCUUAAAGCCGCACCAAGACAUAAAGGUACUUCAUAUACGAAGGUAUUGUGGCACCAAAGCUCCCAAUUGGCUAUUGUCAUUGCAGCAAGUGCGCUCUUUGCACCUUAUCAAUUGCAGGAGUUUGGGAAUCCUUCCUCCAUUGGGAAAUUUGGGAUCACUCAGAUAUUUACACAUGAAGGAGCUAUGUGCAGUUGACCGAAUUGGACAUGAGUUUUAUGGCAACGGUGAUGUGGCAUUUCCAUCUCUAAGUGUCCUUGAAUUUGAUGACUUCCCAAAGUUGCGUGAGUGGGCUGGCACAGAGGACAAGAUCUCAUUUCCAUGCCUUGAAAGAUUGAUUAUAGUGGAUUGUCCAGAACUGGUCGGAAUUCCUCCCUUCUCCGCAGCUACUCGUGAAGUUACCAUUGAACGUACAUGCUUCAUGCCAUACAUGAGGCUUGUGCCUUUUUCUUCAGAUUCAGAGAAGCUCCAGCUGGAUGUUUGCACAACUUCUGGCCACUUCAACGGGUUACUCCAUAAGCAAAAUCUAAAGGUUGUUGUAGCCUUAAACAUAACUGGUGCAGAACAAGUCGUUGCUACCGAAGAAAUAGGGUCCCUUGUUUCUCUACAGAGGCUUCAGCUUCGUCGAUGCAAUUUCACUGACUAUAACCUUAGCAGGUUUCUCCAGGCUCUGCCUUGUCUUUCCUCGUUGGAGGUAAUUGACCUCCCUAACUUAACAUCUCUUCCAGCAUUGGAAAUAGUUGGGGUUAGCACAAUGCUCACGGAUUUGUCUGUACGCAACUGCCAGUUCUUGCAGUCUCUAUCCUCAUUGCAGUUUUUUGAUUCACUAAAAUAUUUGGUCAUCGAGAGAUGUCCUAAAGUGACUGCAACAUCAUUUCCGUUGAACUUUAGGAGUCUUUCAUCGCUCAAAGUGCUGAGAAUAUCACACUGCUCAGAGCUCCAAUCUUUACCGAUGUGUGGUCUGCCGUCCUCAUUGGAAACACUCCAUAUUACUGGGUGCCACCCGGAGUUGUCCAAGCAAUCAAGAAACAUGAAAGGGCAUUACGUUGAGAAGCUUGCAAUUGGCAAUUGUACCUAG
rnacentral:rRNA from 1 species